AUUGAACGCUGGCGGCAGGCUUAACACAUGCAAGUCGAGCGGGGGAGGUUGCUUCGGUAACUGACCUAGCGGCGGACGGGUGAGUAAUGCUUAGGAAUCUGCCUAUUAGUGGGGGACAACAUUCCGAAAGGGAUGCUAAUACCGCAUACGCCCUACGGGGGAAAGCAGGGGAUCUUCGGACCUUGCGCUAAUAGAUGAGCCUAAGUCGGAUUAGCUAGUUGGUGGGGUAAAGGCCUACCAAGGCGACGAUCUGUAGCGGGUCUGAGAGGAUGAUCCGCCACACUGGGACUGAGACACGGCCCAGACUCCUACGGGAGGCAGCAGUGGGGAAUAUUGGACAAUGGGCGGAAGCCUGAUCCAGCCAUGCCGCGUGUGUGAAGAAGGCCUUAUGGUUGUAAAGCACUUUAAGCGAGGAGGAGGCUACUUUAGUUAAUACCUAGAGAUAGUGGACGUUACUCGCAGAAUAAGCACCGGCUAACUCUAUGCCAGCCGCCGCCGUAACAC
rnacentral:rRNA from 1 species